rnacentral:rRNA from 1 species
GAUGUAGGUGGCUUCAUAAGUCAGGUGUGAAAGCCCUGGGCUCAACCCAGGAAGUGCAUUUGAUACUGCGAAGCUUGAGUGCCGGAGAGGUUACUAGAAUACCUGGUGUAGUGGUGAAAUACGUAGAUAUCAGGUGGAACACCGGAGGCGAAGGCGGGUAACUGGCCGGACACUGACACUCAAAUCCGAAAGCGUGGGGAUCAAACA